GAUUAACGCUGGCGGCGUGCAUAACACAUGCAAGUCGAACGAUGAAACUUUUUUGAUUUCUUCGGAAUGAAAAAAAGUGGAUUAGUGGCGGACGAGUGAGUAACGCGUGAGUAACCUGCCUUAGAGAAGGGGAUAGCCUUUGGAAACGAAGAAUAAUACCCUAUGAAACCAUAACCUCGCAUGAGGCCUUGGUCAAAGAUUUAUCGCUCUAAGAUGGACUUGCGUCUGAUUAGUUAGUUGGUGGGGUAACGGCCUACCAAGACAGCGAUCAGUAGCCGGCUUGAGAGAGUGUACGGCCACAUUGGGACUGAGACACGGCCCAGACUCCUACGGGAGGCAGCAGUGGGGAAUUUUGCACAAUGGGGGAAACCCUGAUGCAGCGACGCCGCGUGAUUUAGAAGGCCUUCGGGUUGUAAAAAUCUUUUCUAUGGGAAGAAAAUGACAGUACCAUAGGAAUAAGGACCGGCUAAUUACGUGCCAGCAGCCGCGGUAAUACGUAAGGUCCGAGCGUUGUCCGGAAUCAUUGGGCGUAAAGGGUACGUAGGCGGGUAAGCAAGUUAGAAGUGAAAUCCUAUAGCUCAACUAUAGUAAGCUUUUAAAACUGCUCAUCUUGAGGUAUGGAAGGGAAAGUGGAAUUCCUAGUGUAGCGGUGAAAUGCGCAGAUAUUAGGAGGAAUACCGGUGGCGAAGGCGACUUUCUGGCCAUAACCUGACGCUGAGGUACGAAAGCGUGGGUAGCAAACAGG
rnacentral:rRNA from 1 species